rnacentral:SRP_RNA from 1 species
AGCCAGGAACCAUGCGAGCAGACACCGCCCAACUCCGCCAGGUCCGGAAGGAAGCAACGGCAAGCGGCUGCCUGCGGCGCCGUGGCAUCCCUGGUUACG